CAUAUCAGUGCGCCGAGCUGAUAAAGGCGCCAUUUUGGACGGGGCCGCGGGAGACGUGGUGCCGCUCAGGGCUCGCUCUGCCGUACGCUAGGCUUGGUGGGAAGGCCUCUUCUCGAGUCCGCGCUUUUCGUCGCCGCCAUGUCAGGAGGUGGUGUGAUUCGUGGCCCGGCGGGGAACAACGACUGCCGCAUCUACGUGGGUAACCUACCUCCAGACAUCCGAACCAAGGACAUUGAGGACGUGUUUUACAAAUACGGCGCCAUCCGCGACAUCGACCUGAAGAACCGCCGCGGGGGACCGCCCUUCGCCUUCGUUGAGUUCGAGGACCCGCGAGACGCGGAAGAUGCGGUGUACGGGCGCGACGGCUACGAUUACGACGGCUACCGUCUGCGGGUAGAGUUCCCUCGAAGCGGCCGCGGGACCGGCCGAGGCGGCGGCGGGGGUGGAGGCGGCGGAGCUCCGAGAGGCCGCUAUGGCCCGCCAUCCAGGCGCUCGGAGAACAGAGUGGUUGUCUCUGGACUGCCUCCGAGUGGAAGCUGGCAGGACUUAAAGGAUCACAUGCGUGAAGCAGGUGAUGUAUGUUAUGCUGAUGUUUACCGAGAUGGCACUGGUGUCGUGGAGUUUGUACGGAAAGAAGAUAUGACGUAUGCAGUUCGAAAACUGGAUAACACUAAGUUUAGAUCUCAUGAGGGAGAAACUGCCUACAUCCGGGUUAAAGUUGAUGGGCCCAGAAGUCCAAGUUAUGGAAGAUCUCGAUCUCGAAGCCGUAGUCGUAGCAGAAGCCGUAGCAGAAGCAACAGCAGGAGUCGCAGUUACUCCCCAAGGAGAAGCAGAGGAUCACCACGCUAUUCUCCCCGUCAUAGCAGAUCUCGCUCUCGUACAUAGAUGAUUGGUGACACUUUUUGUAGAACCCAUGUUGUAUACAGUUUUCCUUUACUCAGUACAAUCUUUUCAUUUUUUUAAUUCAAACUGUUUUGUUCAGAAUGGGCUAAAGUGUUGAAUUGCAUUCUUAUGUAAUACCCCCUUGCUCCUAACAUCUACAUUCCCCUCAUGUCUUGGUAAAUUGUAUUUUAAGUGAUGUCAUAGACAGGAUUGUUUAAAUUUAGUUAAUUUCCAUGCUCUUCAGACUGUGAUAUUGUGUAAAUGUCUAUUCUGCUCUGGUUUGUGUGAAAUGGGAUGUUGGGGGUGUUUGUGGUUAUCUUACUUGGGGAAGUUCUUAUGUUUAUCUUGCUUUUCAUGUGUCUUUCUGUAGACAUAUCUGAAGAGAUGGAUUAAGAAUGCUUUGGAUUAAGGAUUGUGGAGCACAUUUCAAUCAUUUUAGGAUUGUCAAAAGGAGGAUUGAGGAGGAUCAGAUCAAUAAUGGAGGCAAUGGUAUGACUCCAAGUGCUAUUGUCACAGAUGAAAUUGGCAGUAUUGACCUUAUACUAAAAGACAAGGGUUAAAAUUUUUAUCAGCAUCUUAUGCGGUUAUUUCUAGCUACAAUUGCUUUGCUUUUUAAACCUUGGCAAUUGUGGCAAAAUUGCCCAUUUUGUAACAAUUAUUUGCUCCCUUCCCCCCUUUUUGUUUUAAUAGGGACUAAUGUGGGAAGAAUGGCUAAUUUGUCAGUGCUUAGUUACAACUGUUAAUGUGUGACCUGCUGUUGGUGUACAUGUGGGUACAGGGUGUCUAUUUCCAAACAGAGUAUAAUAUCAAUACUGCUAAAUCUGCAUGUCCUCUGUGUGACUGAUAGAGCGUUAUUAUUUCAUUUUUUAAAGACAAAAUGACAGCAGAAUAUAGAAUUCCAACGUAUUAGUGUAGAUAAUCUAGUUGGGAGUACUUUAAGUCUCGCCUUCCCUUUUACUAUUCAUAAUUGACUCGUGUUUAAAACACUUUAAUUUACAAGCUAAAUUGCAGACGGGAGCAAUAGAUUUAGUUUAGUCUUAGGUGGGUAGCAAUACCAGUAAACUUCAAUUACAUAACUUUGCAACCACAAAACGUGAUACCUGUACAGUAACAAGUGUUGGCAUUAUCAGUUGAAGUGUAAAUAUAAAGUGCUUCUUCCAGUUAGUCUCUGUAAUGAUUAAGUUUCUAAAAUUUAUCUAAACACCAUACAGAAACUUGUUUUGGGGAAUUUGAUAGUUAUUGAUGUACAUCUGUUAAACUGAUGACAGACAUAACUCAUCAUUCCCCAGAAACCUUUUUUGAUUACAGUAUCUAACAUUUUGCCUCCUCUUUUUUGGUUUUGCUGGUUAUAAAGGUUUGGAUUGGAGAGGGCUCACUGGAUCCCAAUCCUUGGAGCUGGAUCAUUGGAUUCAAAUCAUAAUGUGGAUAGGAUAGGGAGGAUGAAUUACCAGGAUUCAUGGAGCGGGAUCAGAUUACCAGGAACAUAGGAGUGGAUUCCUUCCUGCCCCAACCAAACCGCAUUCGUGUGGAUUUUUUUUUCAUUCAACUUAAUUGGCUAUUCCAAAGAGUUUUUUUCCUAUUUUUGACGAUUGGAGCCCUUAAGAUGCACGAUGGAAUUGUGUUUUGCAUUUUUUGGUAAAAGGAGCAAAGCGAGGACCUGGAGAUAAACGCUGGAGCAAUCUCCUUGGAAGGAUUCAGCACGAGUAGAUGGAUAUUGUAGGGACCCUAUGAUUAGUUUUUCUAACCAAGAAAGCACUUAAAUCUCUUUAAGCAAGUACUUUGCAUAACAUCUGGUUGAAUAACCCAGCUUGCUGUUCAGCUCAUCCUACUGGAGACAAAGGUAAGACAUUUUGAUACCUAGUUUGGGGUCUAAAUUUUAACAACUAAAGUUUGGAAUGAAUAAUUUUCUCUUGGAAUGGUCCCCCCUCCCAGCUUUUUAGUAAUUUUGAAUGUUUAUAUAUCCGCCCAUCUUAAUUCUGGAGUUGAAUGUGAUAAAUUCUAAGAUCAGCUUUUCUUAGUUUUGUCUAUGAACAUGGUUUUGUAGGGUUGGUGUUAUUUUCAGCUUCCUGUGGUCGAGGUCAAUUCUUGGUGUUUGCCUUUUUGCUUUGUAUAUGAAACUUGUAGUUAAAUUUACAAAUGAAAUAAAAUAUAUUUAGUAUUAAAAGGAGAGAAAGUAUUAGACUGAGUUCUGUUGUAACCAGUUUUGGCUUAUUUCUAUCAUGAUUUGAAGAUCGAUUGACAAUCUACAAUUUUGAAAUCUUAAAAACCAUGAGUACCAGGGAUUGUUUUUGUCGAGCCAAUUGAAUGUAAAAAAUCUGGCCAGAAUACCUUCAUUGUAUAAUUAGUGUCACUAAUGAGUUUGCCAGCAGAAAUACUAGUGCAUUCUUCAUUACAAAGUUGCUUAGACAUGUUGAAGGUGUUUAUAUAAGGUAUAUGGAUAAAAGCCUCAUGUAAAGUAUGAAAACCGUGAAUCUCAUACAUCUCUCCUGGGUGGGCAAGGAGUUGAAUGUAGAAUUGUACUAGUAUUGUGGAGGAUUAACGCUGCUGUAUGUAAUUUUGGGAGUGAAUAAAAGGCUGUUACUUUGAAACCCUUA